rnacentral:rRNA from 1 species
ACGACGGGACCCGCACAAGCGGUGGAUGAUGUGGAUUAAUUCGAUGCAACGCGAACGAACCUUACCUACCCUUGACAUGUCCGGAAUCCCGAAGAGAUUUGGGAGUGCUCGCAAGAGAACCGGAACACAGGCGCUGCAUGGCUGUCGUCAGCUCGUGUCGUGAGAUGUUGGGUUAAGUCCCGCAACGAGCGCAACCCUUGUCAUUAGUUGCCAUCAUUGGUUGGGCACUCUAAUGAGACUGCCGGUGACAAACCGGAGGAAGGUGGGGAUGACGUCAAGUCCUCAUGGCCCUUAUGGGUAGGGCUUCACACGUCAUACAAUGGUCGGUACAGAGGGUUGCCAACCCGCGAGGGGGAGCUAAUCCCACAAAGCCGAUCGUAGUCCGGAUCGCAGUCUGCAACUCGACUGCGUGAAGUCGGAAUCGCUAGUAAUCGUGGAUCAGCAUGUCACGGUGAAUACGUUCCCGGGUCUU